UGGCAAUGAUGAAAAAAAGGCCGAACAGACGGCUGCCACCACUAAACAUUAGUUGGUUUUUGGUAGUAGAUUGUCGAACUCUUUUUCAUAAGGUGUAUUUCUGAGCCAG